UUGCCAGCAUGUUUCCUAUGGUGAGAGAAACUGAUUUCAAAGAAAAGGAAGGAAGGAAGAAGAAAUGGUUCUUUCAGGCACUACUGGAGGGAGUGGCUUACUACUCUAAACAUAAUGGAAAUGUUUGAAUUCCCUAAGCCAAUGAUUUAAAUUGAGGGGACCCUGGUUAUUUAGCAUACUCCCUACAUUUUGAAGAAAGCAUCACAGUUGAUCUAUGUUGCAGUGGUCAUCCAUCCCCACAGAAGCUAUGGAGGGGCAAGGGAAGCCCUUCUGUAGCCUGCAAGUGGUCAUUAUCUUCAGCAAGACCUUUGCUGUUUUAUCAGCUGCAAUUUAAAAUACAGGUGCUUCUAAUGUUCUUUCGAAGACUUACCUGAUAAUAUAAGACUUACAAGAGGAAAUUCUUACAGAUGUCAUGUUCUGAGGCUGGCUGAUCCUGCGUUUGGAAGCCAACCAGAGAUCAUGAUGAGGAUUGCGACUCUUCUUGAGCUUAUUACAAUGACAUGAUGAAGAACAGAAGAACAGCUUCAACCAGAUCAAAAUCAAUUUAUGCAGCUUUGUACUGGAAAGGAAGGGAAAGCCUCUGCUCAUUACAGCCUUGAGCUUCAUUCUGACUAAUGAUGCUGCGCUUACCUUAAAUUGAAAUGGGCUUCCCAAAAGUCAAAUAUUUGAAAAGGUUUUCUGAAGUCUGGAAAAAGGUGAAAAUAAAUAUAUCCAGGCUGGAUGAAGACAAUUCCAUCAAUAUUAAUAAAAUCAAGAUAAUGAAUCUUUCCAGGAGUUGGACUUGAUGAUCCUUGUGGGUCCCUUCCAACGUGGGAUAUUCUAUGAUUUUAUUGAGCAGCCAUAUUUUUAUGUCAUUUGAAUACCUUACAACAUAUCAGUGAGUUUAUUUGGAAAGGUGAAGAGAGAGAAUUUUCCUCAUUUUAUGACUGGAACACUGAGAUGCAUCAUCUGAUAAAUCUGAGACUGCUUUGAGUACCUAGAAACUUAUUUUUAGAGUACUUAGCCCUCCAGUUUGUAGUACCGUUCCCCGCAUCUUCAGCUGCAGCUGCAGGCAUCCUGCAGUUUGGCAGUUUAGUUGUUCAUGGUAUUAUCUGUACAUCCAGAAAAGGAGGAACCCAACCUGCUGCAUGAAAAACCCGUUUACCUCUGUGCUGGGUCUGGCUGGGAUGGAGUUAACUUUUCCUGCAGCAGCCCAUACAGUGCUGUGCUCUGCCCUUGUAGCUAGACCAGCAUUGGUA